rnacentral:rRNA from 1 species
GUGGGGAAUCUUCCGCAAUGGACGAAAGUCUGACGGAGCAACGCCGCGUGAGUGAAGAAGGUUUUCGGAUCGUAAAGCUCUUUCGUUAGGGACGAACGUGCUCUUUGUGAAUAAUGAGGAGUAAUGACGGUACCUAAAUAAGAAGCCACGGCUAACUACGUGCCAGCAGCCGCGGUAAUACGUAGGUGGCAAGCGUUGUCCGGAAUUAUUGGGCGUAAAGCGCGCGCAGGCGGGAUAUCAAGUCUGUCGUAAAAGUGCGAGGCUCAACCUCGUGAGGGGAAAGAAACUGGUAUUCUUGAGUGUCGGAGAGGAAAGUGGAAUUCCAAGUGUAGCGGUGAAAUGCGUAGAGAUUUGGAAGAACACCAGUGGCGAAGGCGACUUUCUGGACGAUGUCUGACGCUGAGGCGCGAAAGCUAGGGGAGCGAACGGGAUUAGAUACCCCUGUAGUCC